rnacentral:tRNA from 1 species
GCCGAAGUGGUGAAAUUGGUAUACACGCUGGUUUUAGGAACCAGUGCCUUACGGCGUGAGAGUUCGAGUCUCUCCUUCGGCACCA